CCUACGGGUGGCAGCAGUGGGGAAUAUUGCACAAUGGGGGAAACCCUGAUGCAGCGACGCCGCGUGAGUGAAGAAGUAUUUCGGUAUGGUAAGCCCUAUCUGCAGGGAAGAAAAUGACGGUACCUGAUUAAGAAGCCCCGUCUCAAUACGUGCCAGCAGCCGCGGUAAUACGUAGGGGGCAAGCGUUAUCCGGAUUUACUGGGCGUAAAGGGGGCGUAGUCGGCAGCACAAGUCUGGAGUGAAAUGCCGGGGCUUAACCCCGGAACUGCCUUUGAAACUGUGAAGCUAGAGUGCAGGAGAGGUAAGUGGAAUUCCCAGUGUAGCGGUGAAAUGCGUAGAUAUUGGGAGGAACACCAGUGGCGAAGGCGGCAUACUGGACUGACACUGACGUUGAGGCACGAAAGCGUGGGGAGCGAACAGGAUUAGAUACCCUUGUAGUC
rnacentral:rRNA from 1 species